rnacentral:lncRNA from 1 species
CCCACAGUAUUUUCUUGAGAAAAUCUCUCAAAUCCCUCGAUUUUCUUCAAAAUUUUUGUUGUAAAAUCCUAAGGGAGGACGGGGGAUCUUUAUAGUGAAGGUUUCCUACCCUAGCCGGACUCUUUGAGUCCGAUUUCAUCGAAAAUGAGAAGGAAGAAGACUCCGGUUAGGAGUCUUCCUCCUCUUCUGUAAAUUUUUUUUGUUGUUGUUGUUGGGCCGUCUGAGCUACAGGCCCAAGU